rnacentral:rRNA from 1 species
GAUGAACGCUGGCGGCGUGCCUAAUACAUGCAAGUCGAGCGAACAGACGAGGAGCUUGCUCCUCUGACGUUAGCGGCGGACGGGUGAGUAACACGUGGAUAACCUACCUAUAAGACUGGGAUAACUUCGGGAAACCGGAGCUAAUACCGGAUAAUAUAUUGAACCGCAUGGUUCAAUAGUGAAAGACGGUUUUGCUGUCACUUAUAGAUUGAUCCGCGCCGCAUUAGCUAGUUGGUAAGGUAACGGCUUACCAAGGCAACGAUGCGUAGCCGACCUGAGAGGGUGAUCGGCCACACUGGAAGUGAGACACGGUCCAGACUCCGACGGGAGGAAGCAGUAGGGAAUCUUCCGCGAGGGGCGAAAGCCUGACGGAGCAACGCCGCGUGAGUGAUGAAGGUCUUCGGAUCGUAAAACUCUGUUAUUAGUAAAGAACAAAUGUGUAAGUAACUAUGCACGUCUUGACGGUACCUAAACAGAAAGCCACGGCUAACUACGUG